CGUGGGGGGGCACAGGCCAUGGUUGAUGCAGCAGGAGCUGGUACUCUUGCUGCCAUUAGUAAUAUCAGCCACUCAAACAGUUUUCUGCAGAGCUCCCUUAGCUGCCAUUCCUGUUCCAGAAACUGCAAGCAAGUGCCUGCUGCUGGAUUGAAACCCUGCCCUCAAGCUGUGCAGCCAGCCUCAGCCUUUCCUCAUGCCUAUUGCCAUGCCUUUGUCUAGCCGUAAGUCCCUCUGUCGCUUUGGAACUGGACCUGCUUGUUUGCCCCAUCCAGAAGUUCACAGAAAUGCUUCCUCUUGGAACAGUCCAGGAUGGUACAUUGGCUCAGGCUUCUGCUGCACUGUGGGUAAGGUGUGGAGGUACUGCAGCCAAUAGGGAUUUAGGGGCCUGGAAUAGGACAAGACACAGAGGGAUCUCACAUAGAUCAGUGCAGGAGCACAGAAACAAUCCUUGUGGAAUUUCCAGGAUAUAAAAUGUUACUUUUCCAACCUGAACUUCAAUAUAUUGUGAGAGGGAUGCUUCAGACCACAGAAGCUCACUGGAUACAGCCUGGUGCAGAGGCAAGGGCACAAGGUGGAGGAGAGACCGGACAGAACAGUUGGGGAGAAAUAUGGCUUUGGUGGUGACCUUAGAACACUGGACGGCAGGUCAGUCACAGCCUGUUGCUUGGACCCAGCCUCACGUUCCAAUCAGGGAUAUUGUUUGGUUGGGUCCUUUCUCCUCAGACAGGGUAGAGCUGAAUGGGCUGUUUCAUCUCGCUGUGGUAAUGCGUGCAGUUGAUUUUUGGAUCCAUUGAAAAGCUGAGGGAGUGAGAGAUAGGAUAGGAGGAAAAAAUAGUGUGGCAGAAAGCUACGCAAAAAGGAA